GAUGAACGCUGGCGGCGUGCCUAAUACAUGCAAGUCGAGCGAACAGACGAGGAGCUUGCUCCUCUGACGUUAGCGGCGGACGGGUGAGUAACACGUGGAUAACCUACCUAUAAGACUGGGAUAACUUCGGGAAACCGGAGCUAAUACCGGAUAAUAUAUUGAACCGCAUGGUUCAAUAGUGAAAGACGGUUUUGCUGUCACUUAUAGAUGGAUCCGCGCCGCAUUAGCUAGUUGGUAAGGUAACGGCUUACCAAGGCAACGAUGCGUAGCCGACCUGAGAGGGUGGUCGGCCACACGGGAACUGAGACACGGUCCAGACUCCUACGGGAGGGAGCAGUAGGGAAUCGUCCGCAAUGGGCGAAAGCCUGACGGAGCAACGCCGCGUGAGUGAUGAAGGUCUUAGGAUCGUAAAACUCUGUUAUUAGGGAAGAACAAAUGUGUAAGUGACUAUGCACGGCUUGACGGUACCUAAUCAGAAAGCCACGGCUAACUACGUG
rnacentral:rRNA from 1 species